rnacentral:rRNA from 1 species
UACGUAGGGUGCAAGCGUUAAUCGGAAUUACUGGGCGUAAAGCGUGCGCAGGCGGUUAUGUAAGACAGGUGUGAAAUCCCCGGGCUUAACCUGGGAACUGCAUUUGUGACUGCAUAGCUAGAGUACGGUAGAGGGGGGAUGGAAUUCCGCGUGUAGCAGUGAAAUGCGUAGAUAUGCGGAGGAACACCGAUGGCGAAGGCAAUCCCCUGGACCUGUACUGACGCUCAUGCACGAAAAGCGUGGGGAGCAAACAGG